rnacentral:rRNA from 1 species
UACGUAGGGUGCGAGCGUUAAUCGGAAUUACUGGGCGUAAAGCGUGCGCAGGCGGUCCGCAAAGUCUGAUGUGAAAGCCCCGGGCUCAACCUGGGAACUGCAUUGGAAACUAACGGGCUCGAGUGUGGCAGAGGGGGGUGGAAUUCCACGUGUAGCAGUGAAAUGCGUAGAGAUGUGGAGGAACACCGCUGGCGAAGGCAGCCCCCUGGGCUAACACUGACGCUCAGGCACGAAAGCGUGGGGAGCAAGCAGG